ensembl:misc_RNA 7SK 7SK RNA
AGAUGUGAGGGUGCACUGGCUACAAUAUGUCACCUUGUCUACUGCCAGGGUUGAUCGGCUGGUCCAGCUGGCUGGGGUGGGCGUCCUGUCCUCCUCACUGCUCCACUGCAGUCUCCCGAGGCUGGGUCAAAGAGGACACCCACCCCGACAGAGGACGACCAUCCCUUGGUCAUGGGGAAAGAGCUGCGUUUGCUACAACCUCCAAACAAGCUUUCAAAAGCUGGGGAGAGGGAGUUUAACUCAGCAGCACAAGUGCCUGCUUGGCAAACGUGAGGUU